rnacentral:rRNA from 1 species
GACGAACGCUGGCGGCGUGCUUAACACAUGCAAGUCGAACGACGUGGCGAACGGGUGAGUAACGCGUAAUCAACCUGCCCUUCAGCGGGGGACAACAGUUGGAAACGACUGCUAAUACCGCAUACUGAAGUAGGGGAUUUCGUCUGAUUAGUUCGGUUGAGGGGUAACGGCCCACCAAGGCGAUGAUAAGUAGCCGGGUUUGGGGGAUGAACGGCCCCAUUGGGACCUGGAAACGGCCCAGACCCCUACGGGAGGCAGCAGGGGGGAAUCUUCCGCAAUGGACGAAAGUCUGACGGAGCAACGCCGCGGGGGGGAUGACGGCCUUCGGGUUGUAAAGCUACGUUAAUCGGGGCGCGGUACCGGAAGAGAAAGCCACGGCUAACUACGUGCCAGCAGCCGCGGUAAUAC